rnacentral:rRNA from 1 species
UACGGAGGGUGCGAGCGUUAAUCGGAAUUACUGGGCGUAAAGCGUGCGUAGGCGGUUUGGUCAGUCAGCCGUGAAAGCCCCGGGCUUAACCUGGGAACGGCGGUUGAGACGGCCAGACUUGAGUGGGCUAGAGGAUCGUGGAAUUCCCGGUGUAGCAGUGAAAUGCGUAGAGAUCGGGAGGAACACCGAUGGCGAAGGCAGCGAUCUGGGGCCACACUGACGCUGAGGCACGAAGGCGUGGGGAGCAAACAGG